AUUGAACGCUGGCGGCAUGCUUUACACAUGCAGGUCGAACGGUAACAGGUUAAGCUGACGAGUGGCGAACGGGUGAGUAAUGUAUCGGAACGUGCCCAGUCGUGGGGGAUAACGUAGCGAAAGCUACGCUAAUACCGCAUACGAUCUGUGGAUGAAAGCGGGGGACCGUAAGGCCUCGCGCGAUUGGAGCGGCCGAUAUCAGAUUAGGUAGUUGGUGGGGUAAAGGCCCACAAAGCCAACGAUCUGUAGCUGGUCUGAGAGGACGACCAGCCAAACUGGGACUGAGACACGGCCCAGACUCCUACGGGAGGCAGCAGUGGGGAAUUUUGGACAAUGGGGGCAACCCUGAUCCAGCAAUGCCGCGUGCAGGAAGAAGGCCUUCGGGUUGUAAACUGCUUUUGUACGGAACGAAAAGGCUCUGGUUAAUACCUGGGGUUUAUGACGGUACCGUAAGAAUAAGCACCGGCUAACUACGUGCCAGCCGCCGCGGUAAAAC
rnacentral:rRNA from 1 species